rnacentral:lncRNA from 1 species
UGGCUGACUUAGCAGAGCAAACAGGUGGUUCGGGAGGCGCAUCGGCAGACCCUGGGUGACCUGCACCUGGAGGAGGAGAAGCUCGACAACUGGAGCAGAGCAGAUUUGAAAUUGGAACAGCAAAUCCAUGAGCUUGAGAGUGCCCUUGAGCAGGACAGAAAAGUGAGAAUGAACUGUGAAAGGGAAAAUGUGCAGACUGGAGGGCGAUUUAAAGCUGAACCUGGAAAGCAUGGAGAACUUGGCGAGCGGCCAGCUGCAGCCAACAGAGAAGCUGAGGAAGAAGAAAUUAGAAAUGAAUCAGAUGAAUUCAAAGGUAGAAAAUAAGAAAGGCCUGGUGGCUCAACUUCA